AUUGAACGCUGGCGGCAGGCCUAACACAUGCAAGUCGAACGAGUGGCGGACGGGUGAGUAAUGUCUGGGAACCUGCCCGAUGGAGGGGGAUAACUGCUGUAAACGGUAGCUAAUACCGCAUACCAUCGGAUGUGCCCAGAUGGGUUUAGCUAGUGGGGGGGGUAACGGCUCACCUAGGCGACGAUCCCUACCUGGUCUGAGAGGCUGACCAGCCACACUGGAACUGAGACACGGUCCAGACUCCUACGGGAGGCAGCAGUGGGGAAUAUUGCGCAAUGGGCGCAAGCCUGAUGCAGCCAUGCCGCGUGAAUGAAGAAGGCCUUCGGGUUGUAAAGUACUGUCAGCGAGGAGGCGUUACUCGAAGAGGAAGCACCGGCUAACUACGUGCCAGCAGCCGCGGUAAUAC
rnacentral:rRNA from 1 species